AUGUCUCCAGAGAAGCAGUCAGGGCCAUACAGGACCUUAGGUUUGGGUCUUCAUCCUAACAACAAUGGGUCUUUAGACUUUCAAAGGCUCAUGAUCUGGGUGGUGGUUUCACUGGUAUAUCCAGUUAUCAAAACUCAUCAAACUAAGGUGGAGCUCAGUACACUCAGGUAUACCUUCGCCAUGGUGGCCAACAUCACCGUCUACGGCACCACCCGGCUCCUGCUGCACCUGCAGGGCUCGUCGCGGGUGGGGGUCACCCAGGACAUCAGCGUCAGCGACCAACUGGGGGGCCAGGACGUGCCCAUGUUCCGGAAUCUGUCCCUGCUGGUGGUGGGUGUCGGCGACGUGUUCUUGCUGCUGUUCCACCCGGGCACCGAGGAGAGGCGCUGGCCGCGCGCAGAAGAGCAUGGCCAGCACAGCCCCCUGUUGGCCCCUGCCGUCACCCAGACCUUGCUGCUCUGGAAGCACUGGGCUUCUGGGAGCCAGUUUUCUACUGGGUGGGCAUCGUGAACCUGUCUCAGACCUACAUGCGUGUACCUCGCCUAUUCUCUCUAUCUGCCCAAGAAGCUCAUCGCGACCAUUCCCCCGGUGAUGUACCUCAGCGGCUUCUCCUUCCUCAUGAAGCCCAUCAACAAGUGCAUCGGGAGGAACACGACCUACUCCUCGGGCCUCCUGGUGAUCCUGGCGUUUGCUGCCCGGGUGGCGAUCUCGGAGGAGCUGGGUGUGGCCGUGUACGCUGCGGCUGUGCUACGGGACUCCGGCUGUGCCACCAUCCUUGUCACCUCGCUGGCCAUGACGGGCGACCUCGUGAGCUUCUCGGAUAAAGUGGCCAACGGGCUGGUAGUCAUGGUCAUCCAGAGCCUGCACCCCUGCCCCUCGGAGUCUGCUGCACGGCCUGCGUGAGCUUCUACAACUGGGCGAUGGUGGCCGUGACGCAGGCGUGGGCGUGGCCACUGCCCUGCGUCUCUACAGCCUCCUGCUGUGGCCAAUCCUCCUGUGACGCUGGGACCCUGAAGCCUGGCCCUGACUCUUGACGGCCUCCUGCACCUGUGCAAGGGAACCGUGGGGACACACAAGGAUGGCCCCCGGGGAGAAGCUCCCACUGCCCCUCACUCUUCUCUGAACCCCUACCCUCCAUCCUUGCCAGCUCCCGGGGAUGGAGAUCAGGGUAAGGGCGGCCGGGAUGCCUGCCAGGGCCUUCUGAAUCCAGAGGUUCACAGGGACCCAUGGGCUUUGAGGGUGCCCAUUCUCAACUCUAAUCCAUCCCAGCCCUCUGGAGAAUUUGGGGUGCCCCUCUCGGCAGGGAGCAGGAAGUAGGAAUUCCAGAGGGGUCUAGGGGAACCCUAACCCUGAGCUCAGCCCAUUUCACCCCUCACCUCUGGCCUGGGGAUCUCCAGAUGCUGUCAGGGCCCCUUCCGGAUGACUGCAGCCUGCAAGAGACCCAGCUGCAGAGCGGUGGUGGGACAUGGACCCUACUAUGGUGGGCAGCAGGGCUGCCCAGUAGGCUUGGUGGACUGUGCUAGCAGCAAAAAAAAAGAGCUGAUGGCAAAAUAAACAAACAAAAGGAAUCUUUUGGUUGUAAGUAACAGAAAGAUCCAUUUGA